rnacentral:lncRNA from 1 species
GCCCGCUUCACCCUCAUAUCGGAUGAGGUAUUGAAGUUUAAUGAUUUGACACUCAUACCAGACAGGGUAUAGGGAUGGCCCUGUAAUUGAGAUUGUUAAAGGAAAUGGUUCACGUGUAGCGGGGAUAUCCAUAUAAACCCCAAUUGAUACUAGUAGGUUGGUGAAAAGAGAAACAGUUAUGGUUUGGUUUAUUGUUAAAUGAUAUCGAUUUAUAAUAUUGUUCAUGAAGUUGUGAUCUGUAUGGUAUUAUCGUUUUUAUAGGUUGUUUUCAUAAA